AGAGUUUGAUCUUGGCUCAGGAUAAACGCUGGCGGCGUGCAUGAGACAUGCAUGUCGAACGAAUUUCUCGGGCUUGCUCGAGAAGUUAGUGGCGGACGGCUGAGUAACGCGUAGGUGACCUGCCCCGAAGUGGGGAAUAACUGCCCGAAAGGGGUGGCUAAUACCGCAUGUGAUCGGUAAUUCAUUUGAUCGAUCAAAGCAGUAAUGCGCUUUGGGAGGGGCCUGCGUCCGAUUAGCUCGUUGGUGGGGUAAUGGCUCACCAAGGCGACGAUCGGUAGGUGGUCUGAGAGGACGAUCACCCAGACUGGGACUGAGACACGGCCCAGACUCCUACGGGAGGCAGCAGUCGGGAAUUUUGCUCAAUGGACGAAAGUCUGAAGCAGCAACGCCGCGUGAGGGAUGAAGGCCUUCGGGUUGUAACCUACUUUUCUCUAGGGACGAUGAUGACGGUACCUGA
rnacentral:rRNA from 1 species